GUGAACUGCGGCUGCUGUUUGGAGCUCGAGAUGGUGCUGGCUCCGAACACCAGAUCAACCAUCAAGGCUUCUCUGCUGAGGUGGCGACCCCUAACCUGACCCUCCACACUAGAUCACCCUGGUUUCUUAGCUUACGGUUCGCCCCAUCCUUCUACACAGGGCUGCCUCUCCCUACCCUAUGUACUAAUCCCUGGUGCAGUCCUGGACACCGAAGGCCUGAGAGUUGAAACCAUCCAUCCUCUCUGGCCCUUCCGCUAAGGAGCCCUUCUCUGUGCUUCCUCUUCCUCCCCAGGUGCAGCUAAUCCACUUCAACCAAGAACUCUAUGGGAAUCUCAGUGCUGCCUCAAGGGGCCCCAAUGGCCUGGCCAUUCUCAGCCUCUUUGUCAACGUGAGGGAGGCAUGAUGGGCAAC
rnacentral:lncRNA from 1 species